rnacentral:rRNA from 1 species
AGUGAACGCUGGCGGUAGGCCUAACACAUGCAAGUCGAACGGCAGCACAGUAAGAGCUUGCUCUUACGGGUGGCGAGUGGCGGACGCGUGAGGAAUACAUCGGAAUCUACUUUUUCGUGGGGGAUAACGUAGGGAAACUUACGCUAAUACCGCAUACGACCUACGGGUGAAAGCAGGGGAUCUUCGGACCUUGCGCGAUUGAAUGAGCCGAUGUCGGAUUAGCUCGGUGGCGGGGUAAAGGCCCACCACGGCGACGAUCCGUAGCUGGUCUGAGAGGAUGAUCAGCCACACUGGAACUGAGACACGGUCCAGACUCCUACGGGAGGCAGCAGUGGGGAAUAUUGGACAAGGGGGGCAAGCCUGAUACAGCCAUACCGCGUGGGUGAAGAAGGCCUUCGGGUUGUAAAGCCCUUUUGUUGGGAAAGAAAAGCAGCAGGUUAAUACCCCGCUGUUCUGACGGUACCCAAAGAAUAAGCACCGGCUAACUUCGUG